GCCCCCCUGGAACUAUACUCCCCUCUCCUACCCCUGGCCAAUCGCCCGGUGUGGCUAAGGGCCAUCUCCUUUGUGGCUGAAGAAGAAGAAGAAGAAGAUGGAUGUGUUCUGCGUGAAAUGCGUGUGUUGAGAAGUAAACUUCUGUCACUUAUAGUUUUGAUUAUAGGAACCUACGUGCUCUUGCAACUCAACAUCUUGAAGCUCACAUUCGGCCAGCGCUAUUUUCUUCGUCCGGUCUCGGCCUCCACCGAACGCCCGGCCAACAUGGGUGGAGGGAACCCAUACCCCUAUAGCUUUGUUAUCAACGAGACCCAGCUAUGUAAAUCAGGGGACGUACCUGCCUAGACCACGGCUUCAAGAUGGCUUUAUUACAUGGACAUCCUGGAGACAACGCCAGCCAAUCCUUAAUUAUCGCGGAUGACGGCAUCUACUACCAGGACCUGAUCCAGGAAGCCUUUAGAGACACGUACAGGAACCUCACUCUCAAGUCCAUCAUGAUGGUACGUUGGCUAACCGAGCACUGCUCCCAGGCUCAGUUCGCAUUGAAGGUCGACGACGACAUUUUGCUGAACGCAUGGGGUUUAUGGGUAGAAGUCAAGACGUCGUUACGGCGCUUCACCAUGACGGCUUGGGGCAUUGUGGCGCAAGGUUACAAGCCGUACCGCGAUCCUUUAAACAAGUGUUACCUUCCCGGUACUAGAGCGAAAUCUUACCAACCUUCCUACGUGGACCGGCAUACCUUUUCACCGGAGAUUGUGCACCUGUGCUCUACAAUCACACUUUUACCGUACCAUACCUUCCGCUCGAAGGCGUCUACCUGACAGGGAUAGUGACAAAGAAGGCUGAAGCCCGUCUGGUACGUCAUUACAGGCUUCUUCGGUGAAAACAUAUCAUUCAGUCUGUGUUCCGAACCCCGGUGGAUUGCCAGGCACGGGUUCAAGCCUGUAAGGCUGCUGAAGGCGUGGGGCAGGUUGCCCGGGAAGAAUCGAAGCUUUCGAUGCAACAUAAAUGUGAAUGCAUAGCAGAGAUCGCGUGGCUGGUCUGAUACUUGACCACGCAAAGGAACCAUCUUUAUUGGGACUCCGACGAAUUAAGUGUUUCUUCCGAAUAAACUGCUCUGCUGCCUUA